UACGUAGGGCGCGAGCGUUGUCCGGAAUUAUUGGGCGUAAAGAGCUCGUAGGCGGCCUGUGCGUCCGCUGUGAAAUCCCAGGGCUCAACCCUGGGCGUGCAGUGGAUACGGGCAGGCUGGAGGCAGGCAGGGGGAGAACGGAAUUCCCGGUGUAGCGGUGAAAUGCGCAGAUAUCAGGAGGAACACCAAUGGCGAAGGCA
rnacentral:rRNA from 1 species